UGGAGGAAAGCAGGGGAUCGUAAGACCUUGCGCUUUUGGAGUGGCCGAUGCCUGAUUAGCUAGUUGGUGGGGUAAGAGCCUACCAAGGCGACGAUCAGUAGUUGGUUUGAGAGGACGACCAGCCACACUGGGACUGAGACACGGCCCAGACUCCUACGGGAGGCAGCAGUGGGGAAUUUUGGACAAUGGGCGGAAGCCUGAUCCAGCAAUGCCGCGUGAGUGAAGAAGGCCAUCGGGUUGUAAAGCUCUUUCAGCCGAGAAGAAAAGGUUGCGACUAAUAAUCGCAACUUAUGACGGUAUCGACAGAAGAAGCACCGGCUAACUACGUGCCAGCAGCCGCGGUAAUACGUAGGGUGCGAGCGUUAAUCGGAAUUACUGGGCGUAAAGGGUGCGCAGGCGGCUCUGUAAGUCAGAUGUGA
rnacentral:rRNA from 1 species